UUAAAUUGAAGAGUUUGAUCAUGGCUCAGAUUGAACGCUGGCGGCAGGCCUAACACAUGCAAGUCGAACGGUAGCACAGAGAGCUUGCUCUCGGGUGACGAGUGGCGGACGGGUGAGUAAUGUCUGGGAAACUGCCUGAUGGAGGGGGAUAACUACUGGAAACGGUGGCUAAUACCGCAUAACGUCGCAAGACCAAAGAGGGGGACCUUCGGGCCUCUUGCCAUCAGAUGUGCCCAGAUGGGAUUAGCUUGUUGGUGAGGUAACGGCUCACCAAGGCGACGAUCCCUAGCUGGUCUGAGAGGAUGACCAGCCACACUGGAACUGAGACACGGUCCAGACUCCUACGGGAGGCAGCAGUGGGGAAUAUUGCACAAUGGGCGCAAGCCUGAUGCAGCCAUGCCGCGUGUAUGAAGAAGGCCUUCGGGUUGUAAAGUACUUUCAGCGGGGAGGAAGGUGUUGUGGUUAAUAACCGCAGCAAUUGACGUUACCCGCAGAAGAAGCACCGGCUAACUCCGUGCCAGCAGCCGCGGUAAUACGGAGGGUGCAAGCGUUAAUCGGAAUUACUGGGCGUAAAGCGCACGCAGGCGGUCUGUCAAGUCGGAUGUGAAAUCCCCGGGCUCAACCUGGGAACUGCAUUCGAAACUGGCAGGCUUGAGUCUUGUAGAGGGGGGUAGAAUUCCAGGUGUAGCGGUGAAAUGCGUAGAGAUCUGGAGGAAUACCGGUGGCGAAGGCGGCCCCCUGGACAAAGACUGACGCUCAGGUGCGAAAGCGUGGGGAGCAAACAGGAUUAGAUACCCUGGUAGUCCACGCCGUAAACGAUGUCUACUUGGAGGUUGUGCCCUUGAGGCGUGGCUUCCGGAGCUAACGCGUUAAGUAGACCGCCUGGGGAGUACGGCCGCAAGGUUAAAACUCAAAUGAAUUGACGGGGGCCCGCACAAGCGGUGGAGCAUGUGGUUUAAUUCGAUGCAACGCGAAGAACCUUACCUGGUCUUGACAUCCACAGAAGAAUCCAGAGAUGGAUUUGUGCCUUCGGGAACUGUGAGACAGGUGCUGCAUGGCUGUCGUCAGCUCGUGUUGUGAAAUGUUGGGUUAAGUCCCGCAACGAGCGCAACCCUUAUCCUUUGUUGCCAGCGGUUAGGCCGGGAACUCAAAGGAGACUGCCAGUGAUAAACUGGAGGAAGGUGGGGAUGACGUCAAGUCAUCAUGGCCCUUACGACCAGGGCUACACACGUGCUACAAUGGCGCAUACAAAGAGAAGCGACCUCGCGAGAGCAAGCGGACCUCAUAAAGUGCGUCGUAGUCCGGAUUGGAGUCUGCAACUCGACUCCAUGAAGUCGGAAUCGCUAGUAAUCGUGGAUCAGAAUGCCACGGUGAAUACGUUCCCGGGCCUUGUACACACCGCCCGUCACACCAUGGGAGUGGGUUGCAAAAGAAGUAGGUAGCUUAACCUUCGGGAGGGCGCUUACCACUUUGUGAUUCAUGACUGGGGUGAAGUCGUAACAAGGUAACCGUAGGGGAACCUGCGGUUGGAUCACCUCCUUACCUUAAAGAAGC
rnacentral:rRNA from 2 species